rnacentral:lncRNA from 12 species
GAAAGGAGUUUGCCACCAGCUGAGUUGCUCAGAGCUUUCCAAACAGAUUUUUUUCAUUUUACCCUGAAUUUACAGACUCUGGAGGAUUGGUCUGCCAUGUUCUUACAUCCUAACUGGCUUAGCCAACAACACACACUGCCGUGUCUUGCUGAUGUGGGAUCAUUUAGGUUUGUAACCUAAGGGAAAUAUAUGCAGUAAUCUACUGUGCAGAUGAGGCAAGCAAUGCUAUUCCUUACAUCCAGUUGUAAAUCAAAUGGUUUCCUGCCUAAGUCUAGACAAGAAUAUAACCCCCAGGCUAUGGACGAGUCCUUUUGUUAAGGAAAUGAUUGCAGAUGACUCAGUGCUUUCACCUGUUCUCCCUUGCCAGGUAGCAUCUCCUCUGGAUGGCUGGACUGAGCUAAGGCUUCACAGAAACUUGAAGCUGAGACUCCUUAGACAAAAAAUUCCAUCUGGCUUUACAGGCCAUCCCUGCAUUUCCAGCACAGGAGGGCAAUGGAGACAGAGGCACCUCCACCCAAAACAUUCCCUUCAGAACCAUUUCCUGAGCUCAGUGAAGAUGAGCAACAGAGGGCAUGGGCAUCCUUCCAUCUGCUCCCGCUCUGGAGCAAAGAUACAUCCAAAAUGUUGCAACUCUGCAAUCCUUCUCUCCUUCUGGGAUAGUUUCUAUGGUAAGAUAGCCUAA